GACGUAGGGCGCAAGCGUUGUCCGGAUUUAUUGGGCGUAAAGAGCUCGUAGGCGGCUCGUUGCGUCGGCUGUGAAAACCCGCAGCUCAACUGUGGGCUUGCAGCCGAUACGGGCGGGCUGGAGUUCGGUAGGGGAGACUGGAAUUCCUGGUGUAGCGGUGAAAUGCGCAGAUAUCGGGAGGAACACCAAUGGCGAAGGCAGCUCGCUGGGACGUUACUGACGCUGAGACGCGAAAGCGUGGGGAGCAAACAGG
rnacentral:rRNA from 1 species